GAUGAAGAACGUAGCGAAACGCGAAAGGUAAUGCGAAUUGCAGAAUCAGUGAGUCAUCGAAUCUUUGAACGCACAUUGCGCCCCUUGGUAUUCCGGGGGGCACGCCUGUUCGAGCGCCAUUACACACCCCAAGCUAAGCUUGAUGUUGGGCGAUGUCUGUCACAGGACACGCCUGGAACGUAUGGGCGCCGCCGCCGGAUCACGAGUGUAGCAAGACGCAAGUCAUCGCUCGGUCGGUCCUGGCGGUUGGCCGCCGCGGCGCAUGGUAACACAUGGGCCAGUAACUUUUCACAAGUUUGGCCUCGAAUCAGGCGGGGAUACCCGCUGAACUUAAGCAUAUCAAUAAGCGGAGGA
rnacentral:misc_RNA from 1 species